GGAGAGGUGCGUGAGAUGGCUGAAACGGCAGUCCUGGAAAGACUGUGUGCCUUUACGGGUACCGUGGGUUCGAAUCCCACCCUCUCCG
rnacentral:tRNA from 1 species